AUGGCAGCUGUGGAGACGCGGGUGUGAGAAACAGACGGCUGCAGCAGUGAGGCCAAGCUCUAGUGUCCCACCUGCAUCAAGCUGGGCAUCCAGGGCUCGUACUUCUGCUCGCAGGAAUGUUUUAAAGGAAGUUGGGCUACUCACAAGUUACUACAUAAGAAAGCAAAAGAUGAAAAGGCAAAGAGAGAAGUAUCUUCCUGGACUGCAGAAGGUGAUAUUAACACUGACCCAUGGGCAGGUUAUCGGUAUAUUAGUAAACUCAGACCACAUUAUCCACUGAUGCCAACAAGGCCAGUGCCAAGUUAUAUACAAAGACCAGAUUAUGCUGAUCAUCCCUUAGGAAUGUCUGAAUCUGAACAGGCUCUUAAAGGUACUUCUCAAAUUAAAUUACUCUCAUCUGAAGAUAUAGAAGGGAUGAGACUUGUAUGUAAGCUCGCUAGAGAAGUUUUGGAUAUUGCUGCUGGGAUGAUUAAACCAGGUGUAACUACUGAAGAAAUAGAUCAUGCUGUACACUUACCAUGCAUUGCAAGAAAUUGCUAUCCUUCUCCCCUGAAUUAUUAUGAUUUCCCAAAAUCUUGUUGUACCUCAGUAAAUGAAGUCAUCUGCCAUGGAAUUCCAGACAGACAGCUCUUGCAAGAAGGUGAUAUUGUUAAUGUGGACAUUACUCUUUAUCACAAUGGUUAUCAUGGAGGCCUGAAUGAGACAUUUUUUGUUGGAGACAUGGAUGAGGGAGCACGGAAACUCAUUCAGACCACGUAUGAGUGCCUGAUGCAAACCAUUGAUGCAGUCAAACCUGGUGUUCAAUACAGAGAAUUGGGAAACAUUCAGAAGCAUGCCCAAGCAAAUAAGUUUUCAGUUGUUUGAAGCUAUUGUGGGCAUGGAAUCCACAAGCUUUUUCAUACAGCCCCCAAUGUACCCCACUAUGCCAAAAAUAAAGCAGUUGGACUGAUGAAGUCAGGCCAUGUGUUUACAAUUGAGCCAAUGAUUUGUGAAGAUGGAUGGCAGGAUGAAACCUGGCCAGAUGGUUGGACUGCGGUGACAAGGGAUAGAAAGCGAUCUGCUCAGUUUGAGCACACCCUGUUGGUCACGGACACUGGCUGUGAAAUCCUAACCCAGCGACUCGAUAACGCGUGGCCUCACUUCAUGUCCCAAUUUUAAUUUCUCACAAGAUGGCACAUCUCAAUGAUAUCUUCUUCCUGUACUAUGCAUUUUGUUGAGAGUACAGAGAAGCAGCAGAAUCUUUUUUAUCACUUGUUUUGUUUUAACUAUAGAUAAGAAAGGACUACAGCAUUUAAUGUGUGUCCUCAAGAACUUGUCUUGGGUCUGAAAAAGCUGAGAAGAAUAAAGGAAACAUUGCUCAACUCUUCA